CAGUCGCCGCGGGAAUACAGAGGGUGCAAGCGUUAAUCGGAAUUAUUGGGCGUAAAGGGCUUGUAGGUGGUUAUAUAAGUUAGAUGUGAAAACCCUGGGCUCAACCUGGGACGUGCAUUUAAUACUGUAUGACUAGAGUAUGGUAGAGGAAAGGGGAAUUCCUGGUGUAGCAGUGAAAUGCGUAGAGAUCAGGAGGAACAUCGGUGGCGAAGGCGCCUUUCUGGACUAAUACUGACACUGAGGAGCGAAGGCGUGGGGAGCAAACAGGAUUAGAUACCCCUGUAGUCCCUGUCUCUUAUAC
rnacentral:rRNA from 1 species